rfam:Canis lupus familiaris chromosome 12, whole genome shotgun sequence.
GCCUGGGUCGUUCAGUGGUUGAACAUCUGCCUUUGACUCAGGUCAUGAUCCCAGGAUCCUGGGAUCGAAUCCCACAUUAGGCU